UUGGUGUGUGUUCUGUACGUGAUCAGGGGAAGGCUCUAGAGAGCCAAACCCUAGUUCAUCAUAUAUCAUCCAAUUGAAGGAUGAAUCGAGGCUCAAAUUCAAGAAGGAACAUGAAUUAACGAUCACCCAAGCUAGGGGAUAAUAAGGAAUCAUGUCAAGAUGGUUGAGAGCGUGGAAGGCUAACGGGCUAAGAAGACUCAAGUAAGUGAACGUAAAUACGGACGCGCAAGGUAAGUGUAUUCCGGACUUACCCUUUAGUUUCUAAAAUGUAUUGUAGUAUGAUGAUUAUCGUGAGUCAUGUAAGAAGGUAUGAAUCAAUGGAAGUAUUAAGGUAAGUUUGGCGAAAUGAGUCGAAAAGUGGUUAAGGGAAGAGUUUCUAACAAGUGCGGGUAAGAGGGAACUUACAAUUUGGUAUCAUGUAUUAAGAGAAGAUAAGUAGUUACAAAUGUGAAUAUGGGUUUGAUUGUAUGUAAGUAGUUGAAACUAGUAGGAGAGUAUGACUAUGAACGCGUAAGAUGUAGAUUGUAAGUAUGUGCGUAUGGAUAGAAAAGUAUGUAUGAAUGAAUUGGUAUUUAGCUAAAUGCAUGGACGAAGGAGGUUUGCUUAUGUGUAUACGUGAACCUAUAUAUAUGAAUGAAGUCUAACGAUGCUAAUCGAUUUUCUAUUAAGAGUGUAAUGGAAGUGCAGGAAUACUAAUUUUGGAAGUAAAGAUUCGGUAUUGAAGUCCGAUGAAUGUGUUCGAAUGGACGGGUUAAUGGAUUUAUAUAAGUGAGAUCAAGAGAUGUUGACGCUCGAAUACACAUACUUUAAAAUUUUAUGUAUGAUGUCACCGGUUGCUAACAAUGUGUUUGUAUGAGGUGAUUGCAGGUUAUACAGGUUUAUGGAUUUCUCAUCAUUGAGUGUAUGCGGUCGAAGAUCGAGUUAAGACAUGGAUUGUACGUGCGGGUGCAUGGUCACGUAAUUUAGUAUAAGUAUGUCAGGUCUUAAUUAAAUAUAUAGAAAGGAUUAAAGUAUUUAAGGUGAAAGAAUGAAUAUAACGAAAGAAAUUUUAAAUA